CUUAUUGUUGAAUUCAAUUGAUUCCAAAACAGGAGAUGGGGAAUUUGCUUUCAUAACAAUCGAGUAUUCAUGUUAAAAAUGCGGGAUCCAUCUAACUGAAAGAAAAUAAAUCAGAAAUUCCCAUCUAACUUCACCAUGAUUCCAAAGAGUCCCAAAGAGACAUCGACACAUCGUACCAAAGAGAGCAUAUGGAUCGACAAUUAUGAAAGUCCUCCAUCUCACUUAAAGCUGUGUACCAUUCAAGAUCCCGGAGAAAAGGAGAUUUAAUGAUACGAGAAGUUGCAUCAACAUGAAAACAAAUGAACUAAAACUAAAAUUUGUUG